rfam:Hordeum vulgare subsp. vulgare, WGS project CAJW01000000 data, contig: morex_contig_1571961
UUUCUACUCCCUCCGUCCUAAAAUUCUUGUCUUAAAUUUAUUUAGAUAUGAAUGUAUCUUGUCAAUUUUUAGUAUUUAGAUACAUCUAUUUAUACACAAAGCUAAGACAAGAAUUAUGGGACGGAGGGAGUAUUUA